rnacentral:rRNA from 1 species
CAGUAGCCGCGGUAACACGUAGGUGGCAAGCGUUGUCCGGAAUUAUUGGGCGUAAAGGGCUCGCAGGCGGUUUCUUAAGUCUGAUGUGAAAGCCCCCGGCUCAACCGGGGAGGGUCAUUGGAAACUGGGAAACUUGAGUGCAGAAGAGGAGAGUGGAAUUCCACGUGUAGCGGUGAAAUGCGUAGAGAUGUGGAGGAACACCAGUGGCGAAGACGACUCUCUGGUCUGUAACUGACGCUGAGGAGCGAAAGCGUGGGGAGCGAACAGGAUUAGAUACCCCGGUAGUCCCUGUCUCUUAUAC